rnacentral:rRNA from 2 species
CUGGUUGAUCCUGCCAGUAGUCAUAUGCUUGUCUCAAAGAUUAAGCCAUGCAUGUCUAAGUCCAAGCUGUGUUCACACGGCGAGACCGCGGACGGCUCAUUAAAUCAGUCGUGGUCCAAAUGGGCCAGUGCAAAUCCUACUUGGAUAACUGUGGUAAUUCCAGAGCUAAUACAUGCAACUGAUAUCCCGAAGGCGGUGGUUGUGCUUGCUUGUCUUGCGCUCUCACUGCUCUGACGGAUGCUUUUAUUAGACCAAACUGCUGAGGACUUGAGGGCUUGCCUUCUUGUCUGACUCGUGUAAUGGUGACUCUGGAUAACCUUCUGACAAGCGCACGUACUUCUCUUCUGAGCGAGACGGCGCUGCCACUUUCGAGUGUCUGCCUUAUCAGCUAUCAACCGUUCGUUAUGCGCGACCGAUGGCUUUGACGGGUAACGGGGAAUCAGGGUUCGAUUCCGGAGAGGCAGCCUGAGAGACGGCUACCACGUCCAAGGACGGCAGCAGGCACGCAAAUUACCCAAUCCCAGCAAAUGGGGGAGGUAGUGACGAAAUCUAACGAUGCGGGCGCCCUUUCUGGGGCCCCGCAAUCGGAAUGGGCACUUUCUAAACAACCUGUUGAGAACCUACUGAAGGGCAAGUCUGGUGCCAGCAGCCGCGGUAAUUCCAGCUUCAGCAGCAUCUAUUAAAGUUGCUGCRGUUAAAARGCUCGYAGUUGAAUGUCUGUAUCGAGCGCAGGUCAGGUGGACGUU